AUUAUUAUUAGGGGUCCAAGCCAACAGGUUGGAUCCCUAUUGUUUUUGUAAGGAUUUUUCUUCCUAUUAUUAUUAUUCCCAGCUAGAAGUGGUACCACAGCCCAAACCGUAAAUGGUGCCGACACGCCAAUUGCAUGACUAGAUCCAGGUCGGUGAGGUGACGGCAGACGACAAAAUCCAGACAUGCCGGCCACUAGGUGGCGCUAUACCAAGAAAUACGCGUUUGGGGCUAUAACUCCCACACCGAACCUUCCACAGUCAAAAACUUGUACCCACAUAUUCACUGGAGUCUGCUGCAUCUUUUGACAUAGGCCACGCCCAUUUGCGUCUAUAAUUUUUUUUUCGCAAAAUCGCGAAA
ensembl:lncRNA